GAUCUGAAAAGCAAAGAUCUGAAGCAGAGAUGAGCUGGAUAUGAAAUAUAUUUAAGUAAUAUGUCAGCAAGAGGUAUAAGAAGCUUCACCUAUUAAUAAAAAUUGUCUGAAGAUCUCUAAGGAUAAAAAAUGAUGAAAGCUGGAAUAGCGAGUGGUCUGAUAUCCUUUCUUUGCUCCAGUCAAGAUGAUUUGUGCUAAUGUGUGAUGAGAGAAAUCCAUCGUUUUCCAACACAUGGGAUCUAAGAUACAGCCCACUGAAGCUAUUAGGAUACAACUGGCUCAAGUGAUCUUCAGGACCUCUGAAGUGAAGAUGGUGGAAACCCAACAUGAGGGAGAAGAAGAUGAUUUAUUUACACUUUAUGGGUCGGAACAAGGCACAUCAGAAGCAGUAAAUAUCUUUGUGGAUCUCAUGCUGUGUUCAAUGUUGUAUGAAGUGACAUUUCCUCAACUCUAGCCAAAUGCCCAUGCCACAGAACUGGUGUUCUUUUGGUCUUGAUGUGCUGUCAACUGUUGUACUAUCAGAACAUCCAUUAGUAUUCUGACAGAAGGAACAAAAUUCACUAGAAGUUUGGACUGCUUCUGCAGAAUACAGUGUUUUGCAAACUGGAAAGGAAUCUGCUUCCGGGGCCCAGUUUCAGGAAACCAUCUCUAACGGCAGGACUGUGACCUGCUGCUCCCACAUCAGGGUGGGUAUCAAGGACAUCUUGGUGUAACCCAUCUGCUACACCUUUUCCUCUCUGUCUCAAGUUUGCUCAAGCCACACACACUUCAGCCAAGCAGAAGAGGAAAUUGGCUAUGUAUUUUUGCAUAAUAUUUUGGGGGGCAGCAGGGGGUCCCUGAAAAUGGUAGUGCUCUUUUUGCAGAGUGUGAACCUGAAGGCGUAGCUCCAAACAGAGUUAGAGCAUGCCUAGGACUUCCUAUCACACCUAUACAGACACAGACAUACAUGCCUACAGACACAAUUACAUUUGAUUGCAUAUGAAAUGCAUCCUCAGUAAAAUCUGCCCACAAGCUUGCUAGAUUGAAUUUUGGAACUGGUUUGAAGCUACCUGUAAAACUUCAUCUCAUCAUAGAAGUCCAUUGCUUGGCCAAAACAGAAUAUAGAAUAUAGAGAAUAUAGAAAAUGGAACAAAUACAGAACGAAAGUCUUGCCCUUUGCUGAACUUGGAACUCUUAAAUAUUUGCAUACCUUAUUAGAAACAAGCAUAUAAACUAGGUGAAAUAGUUCAGGCAAACAAAGCCCAAGCUGGAGACAGUAAGUUAGAAGCAAGCUACUUUUCUCUUAUUCUAGGAGCUGAAAUGGAAAAUACUGGCUUAUUCUCAAGAAACAGGAGCCUAAUUCUUACUGCAUUGCUAACCUAAAUGUCCAGUUCAUUCAAGUCACAGCUAGGCAGCUAAGUGUCUAGGCACUUUUUUGGUUUUGUAUUGUGUCAUUCAAUCUGAUGUGAACUGAU
rnacentral:lncRNA from 1 species